AUUGAACGCUGGCGGCAUGCUUUACACAUGCAAGUCGAACGGUAACAGGUUAAGCUGACGAGUGGCGAACGGGUGAGUAAUGCAUCGGAACGUGCCCGGUCGUGGGGGAUAACGCAGCGAAAGCUGCGCUAAUACCGCAUACGAUCUGAGGAUGAAAGCGGGGGACCGUAAGGCCUCGCGCGAUCGGAGCGGCCGAUGUCAGAUUAGGUAGUUGGUGGGGUAAAGGCUCACCAAGCCGACGAUCUGUAGCUGGUCUGAGAGGACGACCAGCCACACUGGGACUGAGACACGGCCCAGACUCCUACGGGAGGCAGCAGUGGGGAAGUUUGGACAAUGGGCGCAAGCCUGAUCCAGCAAUGCCGCGUGCAGGGAGAAGGCCUUCGGGUUGUAAACUGCUUUUGUACGGAGCGAAAAGGCUCUCUCUAAUACAGGGGGCUCAUGACGGUACCGUAAGAAUAAGCACCGGCUAACUACGUGCCAGCAGCCGCCGUAA
rnacentral:rRNA from 1 species